GGUCACUGCUAUUGGGAUUCGAUUAAGCCAUGCGAGUCGAGAGGGUUCGGCCCUCGGCUGACGGCUCAGUAACACGUGGAUAAUCUGCCCUUAGGUGGAGGAUAAUCUCGGGAAACUGAGGACAAUACUCCAUAGGUUUAGGAGGCUGGAAUGCAUCUAGACUGAAAGCUCCGGCGCCUAAGGAUGAGUCUGCGGACUAUCAGGUAGUAGUCAGGGUAUAGACCUGACUAGCCUACGACGGAUACGGGUUGUGAGAGCAAUAACCCGGAGACGAUAUCUGAGACACGAUAUCGGGCCCUACGGGGCGCAGCAGGCGCGAAAACUUCACACUGUGCGAAAGCACGAUGAGGGAAUCCCAAGUGCUUGCUCGUAAGAGUAAGCUGUUUCUCUGUCUAAAACGCAGAGAGAGUAAGAGCUGGGUAAGACGGGUGCCAGCCGCCGCGGUAAUACCUGCAGCUCAAGUGGUGGCCGCUAUUAUUGGGCCUAAAACGUCCGUAGCCGGUUUAGUAAAUGCCUGGGUAAAUCGUGUAGCUUAACUAUACGAAUUCCGGGUAGACUGCUAAACUUGAGACCGGGAGAAGCCAGAGGUACUCCUAGGGUAGAGGUGAAAUUCUGUAAUCCUAGGGGGACCACCAGUGGCGAAGGCGUCUAGCUAGAACGGGUCUGACGGUGAGGGACGAAACCCUGGGGCGCAAACCGGAUUAGAUACCCGGGUAGUCCAGGGCGUAAACGCUGCUUGCUUGAUGUUAGUUGGGCUCCGAGCCCAAUUAGUGUCGGAGAGAAGUUGUUAAGCAAGCUGCCUGGGAAGUACGGUCGCAAGGCUGAAACUUAAAGGAAUUGGCGGGGGAGCACAGCAACGGGGGGGAGCGUGCGGUUU
rnacentral:rRNA from 1 species